AAAUUGAAGAGUUUGAUCAUGGCUCAGAUUGAACGCUGGCGGCAGGCCUAACACAUGCAAGUCGAACGGUAACAGGAAGCAGCUUGCUGCUUCGCUGACGAGUGGCGGACGGGUGAGUAAUGUCUGGGAAACUGCCUGAUGGAGGGGGAUAACUACUGGAAACGGUGGCUAAUACCGCAUAACGUCGCAGGACCAAAGAGGGGGACCUUCGGGCCUCUUGCCAUCAGAUGUGCCCAGAUGGGAUUAGCUUGUUGGUGAGGUAACGGCUCACCAAGGCGACGAUC
rnacentral:rRNA from 1 species